rnacentral:rRNA from 1 species
GACGAACGCUGGCGGCGUGCCUAAUACAUGCAAGUCGAACGCUGAAGAGAGGAGCUUGCUCUUCUUGGAUGAGUUGCGAACGGGUGAGUAACGCGUAGGUAACCUGCCUUUUAGCGGGGGAUAACUACUGGAAACGAUAGCUAAUACCGCAUAACAAUUGAUGACACAUGGUAUUUAUUUGAAAGGGGCAAUUGCUCCACUACAAGAUGGACCUGCGUUGUAUUAGCUAGUAGGUGAGGUAAUGGCUCAACUAGGCGACGGUAGAUAGCCGGACUGAGAGGGGGGUCGGCCACACUGGGAAUGGGAAAAGGCCCAGAAUCCUGCGGGGGGGAAGCAUAAGGGAACUUCGGGAAAGGGGGGAACGCUGGCCGGGGAAAGCCGGGUGGGUGAAGGAGGUUUUCGGAUCGUAAAGCUCUGGUGUAAGUCGAGGACGAAUGUGGGAGUGAAAUGUGCACACUGUGACGGUAGCUAACCAGAAAGGGACGGCUAACUACGUG